CUCAAUUCCUUUUGUCCUGAUAUUUCCUUGUGACUUAAGGUCACAGGGAUGCUGUGGGUCAGGAGCUUCACCACAAAGUGGGAUUCUUUGAAGGGCAAGGACUGCCCACAGAAGGAUGCCCACCAUCCCAAUAGACGAAAGGAAGUCAAAAGACGCCUGAAAUGAAUCAUCACUUACCAUGGGCGAAUUGUAUGGUAUGUGCAUUAUAUCUCAAUCAAAAAAAAAAAGAGAGAGAGAGAGACAGUCUGAAGUUUCCAGGUCUCCAGGACCCUUGGAGACUCUUUCAUGGCAUCCUGAAAACCCCAGCCUGAGCAUCAGAGCCAUUUCCUUCUAUUUACAAAAGCACCAGUGGUCACCUUCUUCAAGGGCCGCUGGAAAUGGUGUGGAGAGUCUGGAGCAAACUGCUAAAAACCGUGCAGUCAAAAUUCACCUGCGGAGCAGACCUGCUGACUCUGGCACUUCUGGGGGAUUGCAUAUCCUACAGAUGUCCCUGGUAGGUGGCCACGUGGAGGCCACACUGGAGCUGCCAUAACCCGUCUACAGAUGAACACACAGACCUGGGAUUUGGGCACCAGCUGGAACGCUAGAGCUGCCAGGUGGAAGGUCUCAUUUCUGGUCCCAUUUCUCAGGUGCCAACGCUGAUGACCAAACUCUCCAUCACCAACCUCUGCCCCCACCGGGGAAUAAACGCCCACUGGAGACAGAGGGCGCAGCUCUGGGGUCAGGAUAUUGGGGCCCACGGUCUCGCCCACGAUUUUGUCUUCACAUCCUGAAAACCCUCUCUCAGGGAGCUGGGAAAAUCCAAUCGCCCCCACAGCUCAGGGGGCUCUGACUGGAACCAGCAGUAGCACCACCAGACCACCAGACCCAUGGCCCGCAGCUUGGGGUCAUCUGCAUCCGGUGCUGGGCUCCUCAUGGCUCCAGUUAAAGGAAGGCAUUAGUGUGCCUUAAUCCAUUUGAAUGACUUCAAAUCCAGCUGGCCGCUGCCUUGGCACCGCAGCCCAGCUUUCCGCCCCACCACCACCUCCUUUGCGGUCAGCCCGCGGGACUCACAGCAUCGCGGUUGCCCAGACAACACCUCAACCCACGGCCAGAGCUGCAUCGUGAUUGGUCCAAGCUCAAGAGCUUGCUAAUCUCCCUAGCAGCGAUUGAUUAGAAGUGGACACGUGACACAGCCUGGAUCGGUUUCCCGCCUCCUAGUGGAGAGACGGCCUUCCUCCGGAGACUGUCUGGAUGUGACAGCCCGAGGGAUGCCCAGAGCCCCAGUGGGCCAACCCUGGUACCACCCUCCCUUCAAACGACUGGUGUGAAAUAACAUAUAGCCCCAUCGACUUCGCCAGUUUCUGUCGGGCGUUUCUGUUCCCUCUGCUGGAAGCAUCCGCGCUGCUCUUGAUUCCACGAAUGCUGAGAACACCUCCUGGACCUGUGCGGAGCCAAGUCCUGCUUUGGUUGUGCCUCCUCUCACAUGGGGCGUUUCCCUUCCUUCCUCACGUGCGUGAUCUUCGCUUGACCUUCUCUAGCAACCGGACCGGCUCUUUAGUGAGAAUUACGUCUGUUUACUCUCCCACCCAAGUCCCCCCACCACCUGCGGAGAGCCAGAGCAGUGGAGUCACUGCCCUUCCCUGAGAUCCUGCCCUGUGUCAGACUGUGGGCCGGGGCUUACACAUGCUAAGUCUUAUCCUCCCCUCUGGGGUGUUAUUGUUUGGAUUUACAUAUAUGGGGACUGAAGCUCAGAGAGGUUAAGUGGCUAGUCCACAGUCACAAAGCUGGAAGUUGACAGAAACAGAAGUUGAGCCCUUCAUAGACAGUCCUGUUGCACAGGAAGUGUUCCACCGGCUACCUUAGGCCUCUGCUGUCACCCCUUCUCUCUCCUCUCCCUCCUGGCCCCUGCUCUUCAUCACACCCCCACCCUGACCUCGCUACAUGGCAGAGGAGUGGGAGCACAAGUGGCCUCCACCUCGUGGAAGGGGAAAGGAGGGAGUAUCAGUUGUCAUUGCCACACUGUCUGUGUCACACACCACCGAGACCCUCAGUGACAUGUGAUGAUGAGCUAUGUGUCCCUGCUCUGCUGGCUUUGGGCUUACCAACAUGACUUGUUUCAGCCAGUAGGCACCUGGGGAGAGUGACGCCACGAUGGUUCUGAGGAGAACUUGUCUGUUCCCACUUGAUUUGUUGCACUUUCACCAUCACUAUGAGAAAAAGCUUCUCUGGAGCAGCUGCUGCCCCUUGAGCCUGGGCCAGACAUGCACACACCUCUCCAGGACUCUGGCUGUAUGGUGAUAGAAGAUCGCUAUGAUGAAGGUCAACCUUGUGGAUGAUACUUUUUUGCUGGGCCAAUUACUUUGCAUAAAGCCGGAAAAUGAUUCAUCUGUGUAGUCCAGCUUAGCAGGUCCUCAGCAGAGAACACCUUUAGAAAGCGACGGAGAGGGUGAAAUCGAUUUUCCUAUGAGGGUAUACAUUUCUGCGUCCUCACCAUAUGCAGUUGGAUGAGUUAUAAGCACACAUGCCCAUUACUUCUAUUCAGUUUGACACACUUAGAAUAAAUGGCCAGGCUUUAGAGCUGCUUCUGUUUUAUCUUUGUAGUUCUGGGCCCAAGAAGGCAAACUCUUUCAGUUUUAGUUCCUGUGUCUUCAAGGCUGUACCCUUGAGUUUUGGCAGAAAGUCCUUAAGGAUUCCGGGCUGCUGUGCCCCUGGGGCUUCGAACUUCCAGAACUUUCUCCCAUUCCAUUCUCUUUUUUUCUGGGCUCACGGAUCCUCAUCUCCUUUGAAAUCCCUGUGGAUAAGAUGGUGAAACACAGGCUGGAAGCCACUGAGAUCUGAGAGCUGAGCAACUAGUUGAACAACUGUGCCUAAAGGUGUCCCAGAAGCAGAUGGGUGUUAACUGAAUGGGGUCUGCAAGGGAGGCCCUGGCUGCCCUUGGCACUUCCUUGUUCUAUAUUUGUGUCUGCAACAGCUGAAUUCGGACAUGACCUGGGUAUAGAAAACAUAUUAGCCUAAUAGUUAAGAAUAUGGGCUGGCACCAAACCGCUGGGUUGAAGUCCGGCACUGCCACACACUAGCUAGUUGUCCUGGAGCAAGUUAUUUAACUUCCCUAUGCCUCAGUUUACUCAUCUAUAUAAUGGGAAUCCUAAUAGUUUCCACUUUAGAAUUGUUGCGAGGAUUGAGAGUUAAGCACCUAGAAUUUACUGUUCCUGUGUUGGUCGUUGUUACAACAGUUGUUGGGUGUAGUUGUAAUAACAGGGAGUUGCAACACUAGCAGGUGGGAGGGGGAGUAAAUGCACCAGCUGACAAAAUGGGAUCCAGAAUAUCUCACUAAGUCACGGUGAUGGGCAAAUUUAACAAUAAAGCUGACUGCUGUGCCCCCAACAGCACAGGAUGAGAAAAACAUGGUUUUGCAGUAGUACAGGAGAAAAUGAUGUGAGGGAUCGUUCCAUAGUAAAUUUAAUAGGAAUCAACUCAAGUGGUGGGUUACCAUACAAAAAAAACUUACAUAAUCUCCCCCCGUGUCCCUUAGAUGUGGGUGAUUGGAAGGGGGAGGGCACCGGCCUUAGCCUGGACAGGCAGACCACACCUGGACAAAUUUGGGGUGCCCACUGUGAAGGGAGUCUAGACAGGCAGGAAUGCGUGCAGAGGAGAGUGAGCUGAUCCUGCAGGGGCUGGAAGGCAUGUGACUCAGUAAGCGAUGCCACCUGUGGUAACAAACAAGUCCCUAACCACAGAGACGGAACACAGUCGUUAAUUACUUGCUCACCUAACCGAUGUUCUGACGUAGGGGUGAGCCAUCCUCCAGCAGUGGGCCAGGGCACCUCCCUUUGUGCUGAAAGAGUGUGGAGACUAUAAGUGGAAGGCGUGUAUGGGUCAGGUCUGGAAAUGGCCACACGCAUUCACUCACAUUCUAGAGCCCCUGUGGUCACACCUGCAGGAGAUGCUAGGUAGUGCAGUCUGGCCAUGAGGCCAGCAGAAGAGACGCACUUGGCGAUCAGCCACUGGCAUCUGCCACUCUACGAAUUGUGAAGAAGGUCCAAGAAGCAGGACGCUGAGCCCGAGAAGAGUGGGAGGGCUUAAGAUGUGUCUCCAAACAUUGGAAAGGUCUCUUUGUAAAAGAGAGGAUCAUCUUUGUUGGUGUCACUUCAGAGGGCAGAAGCAGAACCUGUGGAUGGAGAGAUCUAGGGAGGCUGGUGGGGUGAACGACCAUCCUAGUUUGCCUGGACUGUCUGGUUUUAGCAAUGAAAGCCUACCUCCUGGGAAACCCAUCCGAUGACAUCAGAUGACGUUGGUCAUCCCAGCGUGGCCAACUUUGGGUUGACACAGGUGUGUCUAUCCUAGGAGCUAUCCCGGGCAACACUCCUUCCCCCGUCCCCCCACUCAUUUAGAUAUGAGUGACAGUGUUGUUGGCCGUCAGUUCAAUGUUAAUGAGCCAACAAUAGAUGUUAAAUAAGGUGUCUUUAAAGAGAAGUACAUUGAUUGACUGAUGAAAAUGUUGCAGCCAGAGGUUUGCAGGAACCUAACCCAGUGUUUCCCCUAGGAGCGAUGGUGCAGUAUUCGCUAAUUCCAUUUCAUGGUGACUUUAUAGAACAUAGCUACUGAAGAUAACAAGAAUUGACUUUAUAUCCAUACAAUGGAAUAUUUUCGGCCAUAAAAAGAAAAGAAGUCCUGAUGCAUGCCACAACAUGGAUGAACCUUGGAAACAUUUUGCUGAGUGAAGUCAGUCACAAAAGACCAUGUUUUGUGAUUCAAUUUUAUGAAAUGUUCACAAUAGGGAAAUCUCUAGAGACAGAAAGAUUAGUGGUUGCUUGGGGCUGGCCGAUGGAGGGGAGAGGGAGAGUUAGAGGGGAACAAUAGCCCCGGGGUACAGGGUUUCUUUUUGGGUGAUAAAAAUUGUCUGAAAUUGACUUUGUGAUGGUUGCACAUAUCUAUGGCUAUACAAAAACACUGAAUUGUAUACUUUAAAUGGGUGAAUUGUAUGGUAUGUGAAUUAUAUCUCAAUAAAGC
ensembl:lncRNA